rnacentral:rRNA from 1 species
UACGUAGGGGGCAAGCGUUGUCCGGAUUUAUUGGGCGUAAAGGGCGCGUAGGUGGCCAACUAAGUCAGACGUGAAAUCCCUCGGCUUAACCGGGGAACUGCGUCUGAUACUGGAUGGCUUGAGUUUGGGAGAGGGACGCGGAAUUCCAGGUGUAGCGGUGAAAUGCGUAGAUAUCUGGAGGAACACCGGUGGCGAAGGCGGCGUCCUGGACCAAUACUGACACUGAAACGCGAAAGCCAGGGGAGCAAACGGG